ensembl:lncRNA
AACUCCCUGUGCUAGGGCUGCGAAGUCCGGGGCGACCGCCGGCACGGGCGGGCCUGCGGGAGCUCCGCUCCGCACUAGGCUCAGUGCCGGGGCAUAGCUGCCAGCACAAGUUCUCUUUGCGGUAGCGACUCUGGCGCUCAGGGGGCCCCUGGUGCCUGGGCUACUCUGCAGAGCCCGGAGGGGGGCCGCGAACCCCGCGCCCAUCCGGGCCGACCCGUCCGUGCUCGCUGCGAACCCCACGGAGCCCAGCAAACGGUGCUUGGCUGACGCUCCUCGUUCCCCGGCCACGCUCCUGGCCGGGCUUCGGAGUCCCCGCGCACACCAAGUGCCGCCGCCGCUGCGAGCAAGGAGCUCCGGCUCACAGCAGAAGCUCUGCGCCCGUAGGCAUAUUCCUCGCGGCUCCAAGCGUCCAGCUGCAGACUCCGGGCUGGAAGACGCGGCCACCCCCGCAGUGCUCCAAGGGCCCGGUGCGCCUAGCUGUCCCAGCGCCUCAGGCAGAGCGCGCCCGCGCAGUUCCGGACUCCGCACGCUGCUCCGCUUAGCUAGAACCCUGCAGACCUCGCGGCCGAACAAUCAGCCUCUCGCCGCUCGCUUCCCCGCGGCCCAGCCCGGGCCGGUCCCGAAGCCCCGCCCCCGGCCGCUCGCCCUCACACACCCCCUGGGCUCAGCAGCCCGCGGCCUCCUGCCGGCCCACGUUGGAUGCUUUGCAACAGCGCCCCGCCCCGCCCCCGCCUGCUGUUCAUUGGCUGCCGGGGUCCACGGCGGCCAAUUUGGGCGCCCAUUGGAGCGUUCACCAUGAUCCCGCCCCUCCCGCCUCUCCAGCCACCCCACCCCAGUCUCUUUUCCCACCCAAGGUGUGAAGGGCGGGGGACUGGGAGGAGAAAGGGAGAGUCGGCCUCUGGCUCUUAAAGGAGACUUACUGACUGAUGGAGGAGGGGGAUACGCAAUGGGGAGAGGGAAUAAAAGUAUGCCCUCUGGGUGUACGGGAGGAGAAAACUUCGGUAAAGAAGGCAAUGCCCCCGCUUUGGAGAGUUCUGGCCUCAAAGUUUUUUUCCCUCCUUCCAGUCUGCAAACAGGGCCGGCGACUUAACGUUUACACCCAUUUUCCAGAUGUAUGCAGAUUUAAAACUUCACUAAUCUACUGCUGGGGGCAUCUUUAGUUAUUUUAUUAGGGGUGACCGUCUUCCUCUCUCACAACCGGGAGCUCUUUUCAGCUCCUGACUUGUUCCUGACCCCUUAAAUUUAGCAAUAUGUCCUUGAUUACCAAAAUGAAAGUGUAAUGCGUGCAGAAACCGAAUCUGAAAGGUGUACGCAGUCCCACCUCCAUCCCCACCCUCUGCCCUGGUGAGCUGAAGGGUUAUCCUGGAAACACUCCAGCCUUCGAUAUAAAGGGGUUGCUUUGUUUGUUUAAAUCACAGCCUUUUAAAACCAGUUUUCAAGAAGCUAUACAUCAAGAACUCCUAAGAGACAGAAUAAAAAGAGAAAUAAUAAUUCUUACAAAGUUACUAACUUUGGCUCCUACUGGUCCGAGCGUAGUAGCCAAGUGUUAACGACAGCGCAAACAGUAAGGCAGGCACUCCGCUCAGGGGGGCGCGCGCGAGCGCGCGCGCGCGCACACACACACAGAGUGAAAAAGUUACAAGAUUAGCACAUCAAGAUAUAGCUGCUCCUAUCGGCGUUGUGGUUUGCUGGUGUCUCAUGUCCCUUCCCAAAAGUAUGCAAGUUUCUAACAUAACUGCACACUUUGUCAGGAAAAUUAAGUGAGUCAUGUCUGUUGAAAAACAUUUGCUCCAGCAACUGAAAUCUGACUUCUGUGUUACCAAAAAGAAAGGAAGAUGUUCCUCAGAAAGAAAAAAAUUUUAAGCAUUGCUUCAUUUUUGAUACAUUCUAAGGGGCUUCUUUAAUUGAGAUGUUAAAAUUUUCCUCAGUCAAGAAAACUUCUUUUCUUUAACCAAAACUGGGUUUGGGCUUGGUAGUCACGUGGUUGCUGGCUUCCUUUCUUUUUGUUCCCUCCUUCCCCUCUUUAUCCUCCUCCAACUUCUACUGAUUCACUAUGCUAUCAACUACUGGUGCCUCCUGUUUUCCUUCCUUCCUCCAUUCCCUCCUCCCUGUUUCUUUC